rnacentral:rRNA from 1 species
GAUCAUGGCUACGAGGACGAACGCUGGCGGCGUGCUUAACACACGCAAGUCGAACGGGGCGAAGUGAUAGCUUGCUAUUAUGGAGCCUAGUGGCAAACGGGUGAGUAACGCGUAGGCAACCUGCCCUUUAGAUGGGGACAACACCUCGAAAGGGGUGCUAAUACCGCAUGACGUACGGUUUAGACAUCUUUACCGUACCAAAGGAUUUAUUCGCUGAAGGAUGGGCUCGCGUCCGAUUAGAUAGUUGGUGAGGUAACGGCUCACCAAGUCGACGAUCGGUAGCCGGACUGAGAGGUUGAUCGGCCACAUUGGGACUGAGACACGGCCCAGACUCCUACGGGAGGCAGCAGUGGGGAAUAUUGGGCAAUGGGCGAAAGCCUGACCCAGCAACGCCGCGUGAGGGAAGAAGGGUUUCGGCUCGUAAACCUCUGUCCUAUGGGACGAAGAAGUGACGGUACCAUAGGAGGAAGCCCCGGCUAACUACGUG